GAGGGUGUGGCUCAGCAGUAGAGCACAUGCUUAGCGUGCAUGAGGUCCUGGGUUCAAUCCCCAGUCCCUCC
rnacentral:tRNA from 1 species